GAAUUUUAUAAAUUGUAAAAUAAUAAUAGAGGUUUUAUGUAAAAUAUUUUAUAAAUUAUUUGGUUGGGGGGAUCAUUAAAUUUAAUAAACUUUAAUUGAAAAAAGUCAUGAAUUAGUGAAGAUUAUAAGGAAUAAUAUAGGAAUUGAUAAAGAAUUAAUUACCUUAGGGAUAACAGCGUAAUAUUAUUGGAGAGAUCAUAUUGAUAGUAAUGAUUGC
rnacentral:rRNA from 1 species